GUCAUUUUAAAAUAUUAUUUGCCAUUAAUCUUUACUUACCAUUGAAUUCUUAUCAUUGCUACUUAGGUGCUGUUAGUUUAGUACUGAUCUGUGGAUAUGUCAUGCUAUUAGUCACAAACCAGAUUUCUUCUUGUCUCCAAAGAAUUCUUAUUGCUGCUAAUUUUCUGGUGUUAAUUUAGUAUCAAUCAUUGACCAAGAUUCUGGCAGCCUGAAAUUUUCUGAGAGCUCCUACAUAUUUCAAAAGGCGCAAGAGCACAUAUUGCAGUCUUGGUUACUGGUUUUAUUGAUACUUGAAACUAGUUGCUUCUAGUUCUACUUGGGAAGCACUGUUUCCUUUUAUUUCAAAAAAGUAUUGUUUCUUACGUAACUGCGAGGAAUAGAAUUAUGAGGAACUUCUAUUUUUGUAAGUUUGAAGCUUGGGAAUCAUACUGCUAUGUCACCAAAAAAAAUAGAAUAGUCAGGUCAGGAAUCUUAUUUGCAAUCAUGUUAUAAUAAGGUGGAACAUGACAGCUGGAUGAAAUGUGUGUGAUCUUUUCUUGGAUACAGUGAACAGUUGAAACUUACGAAGGUCAUGCUCUGCUUCCUUUGUCUGAAAAGUCAUGGCUGAAAGUAUUGCUCGCUGAUUUGUUGUGAGAGAAAAACACCGCUGAAUGACUGACAUAUUUGGUAGAUAAGCUCAAGAGAACAGGGUGAUGCCAGUGACACAAGGCAACUGAGUCUUAAAAUUAAUCUGUCGUUUACCUGGCUGUAAUUUUAACCCAUCACGGUAACAGGAUUUCUCAUAUUUCCUAUGACCUGGCCACUUGGGAGUUGGGGCACUUGUGAUCUUACAUUAGACAUUAGUUUAACUUAAUUAAGAUAAGCCCACCAAUAUGAAGAUGUCUCUUAUUAUGACAAUAUUUGCUGCUGUACUCUUGAGAUCUUGGGAAUAUUUUAGGAACAAUCACUAAGAUUAUUAUUGAUAUUCUUACAUUUCAUGACUUGAUCUGAUAUGUCUCUUUUCUCAGGUACCAGAUGCCAUGGAUUAUCUUCUAGCUUUCAACAGAGUUUGCAUAUACACAGUUCUAAAGCAUCUGCAUGCUAUUUUCUGGCUGUCAUAGCAAAUGUGAUGAGAAAAACACCCAAAACGUUUAAGGGACUGCUAGUUCUAAUGUAGAUGCACAAGCACGAAGUGGAGAUUACUCAGAUUGAUAGGUUACCAGGACACCCCAAAGGUCUACUUCAUGGUCAUGGCUUAGCUGAGAGAUGGAAAUGGCUUGCCAUGUUCCUCAGUGCUCUACCAGCUACCACUGCUACUGCUUGUGCCCUUCAAGCAUUUCUCAAGAUGGCUGGUUUUGCGCUUCACAAGAAAUAUGGAUCACAGUUCAAGAAAAUCCUGGAUGUAAUAUCGCGCUGCUCUUUACCAGCUUUGAAAGAACAAGGCAACAAAACACACUCUGAGGCUGUCAAUAAUCUACAGAACUAUCUUAUUAAAAAAAUCUACCUCGAGGAACCAGAGGGGCAGUGCCUUGUACAACAACUGAUAUCGAAAGAGUUGUUCUAACAUAUGUUUUUUUGGGUGCUUCUACACGUACCUUGUUGAGCCCCACGGGUAUUUGCAUGGACGCUCUAGCCCCCCCCUAUCGCUGCUGCGUCAAUGGAGUUUCUAGUGAUUUUCUUCCAAUUUUAAACAUAAAUGUAUAAGAUAAGGUGGGCUGAGAUCUUUAUUUUUAUAAUAUAUUUUGUGAAUCUCAUCCUUCAUUGAUAUUUUCAAUAUAAAACUAAUUCAAAUUAUUAUAUA